AGUCAGGCUGCAAUCAGAAGGGGAACUGUCUGCAUCAGGAUUUUUCUACCGAUUUGCCUGGAAAAUAAUCUCUUCGUGAUUCAUUUCACGGGCCAGGAAAGGAGGUAAAUCCUGCAUAACUCCCAAGAGUCUCUACAUAGGCUCUCUACUUGACCAUCCUCUUUGGUCCAUCAAACCAACCAUCCAUCCUUCCACUCAUUCACUAAUUCAAGAAAUUGAUAAACAACUUAUUUUGGUAGAUUCUGGAAAUAGCGAACACAUUUGAGUAGCUCUCUGCUUUGGAACUUUACAGUCCUGGAGGAGACUCAAACAGCAAAAUCAUCACCUGUGAUAAAGUGUGAAGCAAAGCACAGAAGGCUCUAAGGUUUUCAUGGAGAAGAGCUUCUGGGAGAAGAAUCUUCAUGUGGUAACAGUAGGAGAAAGAACCCUACUGGCAAGAUGAAAAUCAAUGGAAAACAUCUGGGCCCUUUCCAACUAGGAUCUUUUUCCCAACUUAUUUUCUAGUAAGACUUUGAUUUUUAAUAAGAAUGGAUUCCAUUGCCUUCCAUCAUUAAGCCCAAACUUGUGCCCCAGGGAGAGGCAAUCACAUCAGUUCCUCCCAUUCCUGUUUCAUCUUACAGAACAGCAGAGAAGAUGAGCAUAUUAGAUCUUUGUUCAUUGAUUAAAGCCAGCCUUGCUUGGAAUACAUACCGAGUAGGGGUGUUUUCUUAAAUCAAAGCAGAAGAGCUUUCAUUUCCUGAGGUCCAAGCAAAGAGGAGAACUGUCAGGGUUUGCCCAAGCACCACUCAGUGACCUGGAUAUGUGAGGGGUGAAAAUACGUGGAAGACAAGCAAGAGAAAGUGAAAUCGAGGUUGGGAAAGUGCCAAGCAUGAAACAAUAGCAGCCUUCUCCUCCUCGCAACUUUCACAAGACCAAGCACAUGUAAUUAACUCUUCCAUCUGUAUCUUCAGGUUUGAAUUAAAAUGAAUCGAGUUGAAUGGAGUGGCCUGGACUCAAGAUGAAAGAGAUGACUCUGUGGCAUGGUGUCUGGAAGAUUAGGUGUCACUUAUGGAAACUCAAGAAUGCACCCUAGAAGCAUCUAUGGGACCAGAGCAUCAGUUAAUCUUGUUGCUAGUGAUGACAAGAUGGCUUGUGGACCCCGAGGUUUCCUCUUAUCCUUGAAUAUCUGCUAUUAUUCCAAAAUGCCUAAAGGGUAAAGUCACAGAGCUGGCAUGCUCUGUGAACAAUUCCUAUGUAAAAUGAGUAGCAGGGAGACUGCAGUUAACCCAUGGGAACUUACACAUGUGAGAGUUGAAAGGUAACACUCCAGAGAAGUGAGAGCUACUAUUAAAUAAGACACAACUGCUUUGAGUUCAGUUCACUAUAAGGAUACUUCCAGAAAAGCAGCAGAAUGGAAUGCUCCCAUAACUGCUUCGUGCAAUUAUAGAGUACUGAGUGGACAGGACAGGAGGGACAGGGAAAGGGUUAAUUUAGUGAGAAAUGCAGAGAUGAAACAAUUGUCAGAAUAAAGGUAGUACCUGGUCAGAUUUUUUUUCCAAAAUAUAUUGGAGGGAGAAAAAAUUUUAGUAAUGUCAUACAUAAAGAAGAUAAUCCAAGUGAAACUUAGACUUCUAAAACUUUGCUGCAGAUUGAGAAAAAAUUGACUUGGAUAUAACAAUGGUCUGUGUUUAGGAAAGGAAAUACCCAGUGUGGACUGCUAGGGGACAAAAGCAGCUGAGAUCCCACCAGUGAGGACCAGCCCAAUAUAGUCAUUGACAAAGAAGACAUCUGCAGUGGACUGGACCCACAACCAGGCAGAGGUUUUCAUGAAUUUUUUAGGAAGGGAAAAUUAGGAAUUAAAAUGAGAGUUGCAUUUACAUACAAUUUGACUUUGCUAAAUAUAGUUUUGUUUACAUUAUACAGAGAGCUCAACAAGCCAGAGUUUCUGUUUUGCUAGGGUCCUGGCAAAUAAAUGAUUACAGACUCCAAUCAAGUAAUUGGAGGAGUGUUCAAUAGAGAAAAUGAUUUCAAAGAUAAAGGGAAAAAUCAAGAAAUAGAGAGCAGUGGAGUAGUGACAGGGUUACCCAUUACCAUUUCUAGGAAUAAAGGGCAGAGAGAAAAAAUAGUCACCAGCAGUAAAGAAGAAAAAUACUCAAUGUGGGCCAUUUCAUAGACCAUCUCAUCUUCUGAUGAGAAUGUAGGAGGUGGAGCACCAUGAGUUCAGGAGGGUGAGGACGGUAGCAAGGCUUUUCUCCUCUCUUCUGCUUUUUCCUGUGGCCCCACUGGUUGACUCCAACAGGAGCCAGAGCCUGUAGGAGUCCACUGCUGUAGGGGGUACAGGUUAGCCUCUCAAGGCAAAGGUGGGGUGAGGAAGAGGAGUGAACAAAUCCAGAGACAAGAUUGCCUGCAACAAGGUCCCCCUAGGCACUCAGCAACCACAUUGUCCAGCAGACAUUGAAAACUUAUGAUUUCAAGUUGUCAGUGCAUCAUGGGGGUAACACUAAUUCCUUCAUUCUACACUAAACUUAAAAUAUUAGGCAAUAGUCAUGGUAUAAAUUAGUGGAAAACAGGGAACACAAGUCAUCAUAAACUUUAGCUUCCUUCAUCUUGCUUUAAUUGCUGGUGGUGAGGCAGAAUUUGCCAUCACCUUUGCCAUCUAUUAAGGUCCCUCGUGCCUUCUGCCUGCACCUUGACUGGAGAGGCGGUGGCCUGAAACUUCGUCCCCAUAGGUGUGUGUCCUACUUGUCUUUUUGAGGGGAUUUAAGUAGAUUCAAUUUUCUAAUCAUUAGUUCUGAUGGGUAAAAGGGAACUAAGAGGUGUCCUUGAGGACCUCCUGCAUUACAAGCACCAUCCGCCUUUUGUUCAUUGAUGACAGCAAUCGUCCACACAGAGCAGUCACCUGUCAUUGAUCCUGGCAGCCCAGGAUCCAUCAACCAUGUCAAGCAGUCACCCUUCUCUGCCUGUUGGCACAGCUGUGCGGGAACCCUGCAUGGCUGAGGGGGAAGAAUCAGCUUGAAUUUCAAGGGAAUCAGGGUUAGUAUCUUGUUGACAGGUGUUUCUCCUUUGGCAUUAGGAUCUCUAAAUACAUAAGCCUUUGGAGUUAACCAGCAGAUGUCAUUAGUAUUAAGUGCCCAUUACUGCAUUGUUCUUGCCUUAAAAUGUGUCACCUGGUUGAAGGUCCUAUUCUGAGGGGUACUGUACUAGGUUUCCAGACAUAUAUAACAAAGUACCACAAAUGGAGCGGUUUAGAAAACAGAAACUUAUUUUCUCACAGAUCUAACAGUCCAAAGUUCAAGAUCACCUGUCAGCAGUACCAUGCCUCCUGGGAAGGCCGUGGGGAAGAAUCUGUUCCAGGCCUCUCUCCUAGCUUCUGGUGGUUCAUGGCUUGUGUCAACAGACCUCCAAUUUCUACAUGGUAUUCUUUCUCUGUGUGUAUGUCUCCUUCCAUGCACAAAUUAGUCUUUUUCUAUAAGGACACAGUUACAACAUUGCAUAAAUGGACAACCAUGCACCCAUGUGACUUUACCUUACUAAACUGAUUGUAUCUGCUAUAAUCCUAUUUCCAAAUAAGGUUAUACUCUGAGGCAUAGGGGGGUCAAGACUUCAACAUAUGAAUUUUAAGGGAUACAAUACAGUUCAACCCAUGGCAGGUGCCAUAGCAAUCAAUAUGUCUAUUUUUCCUUCCACACCAAGUAUUUGAGUCCAUCACCUGAAGUACCCCUGGAAGAAUUACUUUCUUGUAGCAAAAUGGAAGGCCUCCAUCACAGUUACAACUCCAUGAGGUCAGAGCAUUUUAAAUGACCACUUCUGUUAUCUUUAUGAGGUCCUGAAUUACAAGAUCCUUCCAAGUACUCAUUGUAUAUAAACACCAAGGUUGAGGACCACUAGACCAGGUAAAUAGCCUGCUAUUGAAUUUUUAUUUAAGGAGUCUUCUUUCUGCCUGUGUAUAUACUGUGUAACAUGCAUUUCUUAUGAAAGUUGAAAAUCUUGCUGAAGCAAUUCUGAAUAGAUGAAAAUAGACUCAAAUGAAAGGACAACUUUGCUUUUUAUUAGAGCCAUUCUUUCAGUAGAAGCAGUGAUAGAUAGAAGAUAGAUAGAUAGAUAGAUAGAGCUUUCUCAUUGGGGACAGUUCUAGGAACAGCUCCUCAAAGGCUUUAUGCUUUUAUUAUCAGCUCUGUGGUCAUGUUUAACAUUAAGUAAUUUUUCAAAUACCAGCAUACAUUCAUGUGCAUACACAUACAUGCAUGCUUACAUAGGACAUAAAUGGCUAUUUAUGUGACAUAUGAUUUGAGUGACAAUAAAACUUUUUUUGUCUUAGA